rnacentral:rRNA from 1 species
AAUGGGGGAUAGCCCGGCGAAAGCCGGAUUAAUACCGCAUAUGCCCUGAGGGGGAAAGUGGGGGAUCGCAAGACCUCACGUUUUCGGAGCGGCCGAUAUCAGAUUAGCUAGUUGGUGAGGUAAAGGCUCACCAAGGCGACGAUCUGUAGCUGGUCUGAGAGGACGACCAGCCACACUGGGACUGAGACACGGCCCAGACUCCUACGGGAGGCAGCAGUGGGGAAUUNUGGACAAUGGGGGCAACCCUGAUCCAGCCAUGCCGCGUGAGUGAAGAAGGCCUUCGGGUUGUAAAGCUCUUUCGGACAGAAAGAAAUCGCACAGGAUAAUACCUUGUGUGGAUGACGGUACUGUAAGAAGAAGCACCGGCUAACUACGUGCCAGCAGCCGCGGUAAUACGUAGGGUGCGAGCGUUAAUCGGAAUUACUGGGCGUAAAGCGUGCGCAGGCGGUUUUUUAAGACAGGCGUGAAAUCCCCGGGCUUAACCUGGGAACUGCGUUUGUGACUGGAAGACUAGAGUGUAGCAUAGGGGGGUAGAAUUCCA